rnacentral:rRNA from 1 species
AAUUCGAAGCAACGCGAAGAACCUUACCAGGCCUUGACAUGCAGAGAACUUUCCAGAGAUGGAUUGGUGCCUUCGGGAACUCUGACACAGGUGCUGCAUGGCUGUCGUCAGCUCCGUGUCGUGAGAUGUUGGGUUAAGUCCCGUAACGAGCGCAACCCUUGUCCUUAGUUACCAGCACGUUAUGGUGGGCACUCUAAGGAGACUGCCGGUGACAACCGGAGGAAGGUGGGGAUGACGUCAAGUCAUCAUGGCCCUUACGGCCUGGGCUACACACGUGCUACAAUGGUCGGUACAAAGGGUUGCCAAGCCGCGAGGUGGAGCUAAUCCCAUAAAACCGAUCGUAGUCCGGAUCGCAGUCUGCAACUCGACUGCGUGAAGUCGGAAUCGCUAGUAAUCGUGAAUCAGAAUGUCACGGUGAAUACGUUCCCGGGCCUU